UCUGAGGUAUCGAUUGGAGAUAUAAUUGAAUGCGCUCACGAAAUCCGACAAUGAAGCUUUACGCCUUUGCCUUCGAUAAGUGUCCUGUUGCUCGAAGCAUUGUUGUUGAGAGAAGCCGUACGCUGUGCUUGUGUGUAUUGCGCCGCCAAGAGUUGGAGGAUAGCGUUUUCGUCGCCAGGGUGUGGGACCAUACUACUUACCGGAUGGGGCCGAUCCUAUUACAUCUAGAUACAACUAACUUCCAACGUCCGGAUAGGUAUGGAUACUCCGCCGAUAUUGAAAAAGCGACUGCCGAAUUUGUGAUCCUUUACCACGUGACAAUGGUACGAUCGGCGUUGCAGGAACGAUUCCUUCCAUACAAAGUAACGAACUGCAAGAACUCGUGCAAGAUGCUACAACUUCUGCUGCCAGACGUUUGCAUCUAACGAUCUGAACGUGUUCCAGUCAAUCAUAGCGUGGUGCAUAACCAAUUGAUGUAGGACGAAUUUGCCAACCCAGUAAAAGCAUAAAAGGGCGGUCUUAUUUUUAUACGUGGCGACAUGCUGAUGAAAGACUAAUACCCAGCAAAUUGGCCCGCAGGGGCGUGGAGCUACCCAAAAAUCACUUUUUGAAAGAAUGCAGCUUUUGCAACCUUCACAGGUAUCGCUGACGAACCCAAGGUCGAAAGCGUAUGAAAGAGUUCCCUCGUUUUCAAGGUGCUGCAUCUCAAGACUGAAUAAGCUCUAAGCGCGUCUGCCACUGUCAAACCUCAGCAUCAACGCCAAGCCUUCACGAUUUUCAUGUUCUAAAUAUCUGACUUUAAAGCCAUCUAUUUAAAAAAAAAGAGCGACCACGUAAUAUAUAUAUA